rnacentral:rRNA from 2 species
CGGGACACGUGGUAUCCUGUCUGAAUAUGGGGGGACCAUCCUCCAAGGCUAAAUACUCCUGACUGACCGAUAGUGAACCAGUACCGUGAGGGAAAGGCGAAAAGAACCCCGGCGAGGGGAGUGAAAAAGAACCUGAAACCGUGUACGUACAAGCAGUGGGAGCACGCUUAGGCGUGUGACUGCGUACCUUUUGUAUAAUGGGUCAGCGACUUAUAUUCUGUAGCAAGGUUAACCGAAUAGGGGAGCCGAAGGGAAACCGAGUCUUAACUGGGCGUUAAGUUGCAGGGUAUAGACCCGAAACCCGGUGAUCUAGCCAUGGGCAGGUUGAAGGUUGGGUAACACUAACUGGAGGACCGAACCGACUAAUGUUGAAAAAUUAGCGGAUGACUUGUGGCUGGGGGUGAAAGGCCAAUCAAACCGGGAGAUAGCUGGUUCUCCCCGAAAGCUAUUUAGGUAGCGCCUCGUGAAUUCAUCUCCGGGGGUAGAGCACUGUUUCGGCAAGGGGGUCAUCCCGACUUACCAACCCGAUGCAAACUGCGAAUACCGGAGAAUGUUAUCACGGGAGACACACGGCGGGUGCUAACGUCCGUCGUGAAGAGGGAAACAACCCAGACCGCCAGCUAAGGUCCCAAAGUCAUGGUUAAGUGGGAAACGAUGUGGGAAGGCCCAGACAGCCAGGAUGUUGGCUUAGAAGCAGCCAUCAUUUAAAGAAAGCGUAAUAGCUCACUGGUCGAGUCGGCCUGCGCGGAAGAUGUAACGGGGCUAAACCAUGCACCGAAGCUGCGGCAGCGACGCUGAUGCGUUGUUGGGUAGGGGAGCGUUCUGUAAGCCUGUGAAGGUGUGCUGUGAGGCAUGCUGGAGGUAUCAGAAGUGCGAAUGCUGACAUAAGUAACGAUAAAGCGGGUGAAAAGCCCGCUCGCCGGAAGACCAAGGGUUCCUGUCCAACGUUAAUCGGGGCAGGGUGAGUCGACCCCUAAGGCGAGGCCGAAAGGCGUAGUCGAUGGGAAACAGGUUAAUAUUCCUGUACUUGGUGUUACUGCGAAGGGGGGACGGAGAAGGCUAUGUUGGCCGGGCGACGGUUGUCCCGGUUUAAGCGUGUAGGCUGGUUUUCCAGGCAAAUCCGGAAAAUCAAGGCUGAGGCGUGAUGACGAGGCACUACGGUGCUGAAGCAACAAAUGCCCUGCUUCCAGGAAAAGCCUCUAAGCAUCAGGUAACAUCAAAUCGUACCCCAAACCGACACAGGUGGUCAGGUAGAGAAUACCAAGGCGCUUGAGAGAACUCGGGUGAAGGAACUAGGCAAAAUGGUGCCGUAACUUCGGGAGAAGGCACGCUGAUAUGUAGGUGAAGCGACUUGCUCGUGGAGCUGAAAUCAGUCGAAGAUACCAGCUGGCUGCAACUGUUUAUUAAAAACACAGCACUGUGCAAACACGAAAGUGGACGUAUACGGUGUGACGCCUGCCCGGUGCCGGAAGGUUAAUUGAUGGGGUCAGCGCAAGCGAAGCUCUUGAUCGAAGCCCCGGUAAACGGCGGCCGUAACUAUAACGGUCCUAAGGUAGCGAAAUUCCUUGUCGGGUAAGUUCCGACCUGCACGAAUGGCGUAAUGAUGGCCAGGCUGUCUCCACCCGAGACUCAGUGAAAUUGAACUCGCUGUGAAGAUGCAGUGUACCCGCGGCAAGACGGAAAGACCCCGUGAACCUUUACUAUAGCUUGACACUGAACAUUGAGCCUUGAUGUGUAGGAUAGGUGGGAGGCUUUGAAGUGUGGACGCCAGUCUGCAUGGAGCCGGCCUUGAAAUACCACCCUUUAAUGUUUGAUGUUCUAACGUUGACCCGUGAUCCGGGUUGCGGACAGUGUCUGGUGGGUAGUUUGACUGGGGCGGUCUCCUCCUAAAGAGUAACGGAGGAGCACGAAGGUUGGCUAAUCCUGGUCGGACAUCAGGAGGUUAGUGCAAUGGCAUAAGCCAGCUUGACUGCGAGCGUGACGGCGCGAGCAGGUGCGAAAGCAGGUCAUAGUGAUCCGGUGGUUCUGAAUGGAAGGGCCAUCGCUCAACGGAUAAAAGGUACUCCGGGGAUAACAGGCUGAUACCGCCCAAGAGUUCAUAUCGACGGCGGUGUUUGGCACCUCGAUGUCGGCUCAUCACAUCCUGGGGCUGAAGUAGGUCCCAAGGGUAUGGCUGUUCGCCAUUUAAAGUGGUACGCGAGCUGGGUUUAGAACGUCGUGAGACAGUUCGGUCCCUA